UGCAGUAUUGCAUGUGUGGCAGGGUUAGUGUUAUCUGUUUUUGGCCCGGUUGGGAUCUGAUUGGUGGACCAAUGAGAUGUAAGUAGCCCUACUACUUAAGGACUCUUAUUUUGAGGGGUAGUGUGGUGUCUGGUUGAUUCUGAGCUCUCCUCUUCCUGACAUUCCCCUUUCCGCUCCUCACUGCGUCAGUCUGAUUUUAGAGUGGGGCUGGUGGCAUCGAUAUUGCGGCAAGUUUGUGGCGGAGUGCGCUUACAGUAAUGGUGACACAAGCGGAUGCGUGAGUGCUGUCUGGUACGUUGAGUCACAACACUUGUUGGAGUAACCAUAUAGCUUUGCGCUGGUCUUCGUUCAACCCUAACCAUAAGUAAGAGGGGGAAUGGAACAUCACCGUCUCUAAGUUGAUCUUUUGGUGAAGAUACUACCUGUGACGCCGCUGCUGUUUUGCUUAGGGCAUUUUUCUUUUUGUUGAGUACAG